rnacentral:rRNA from 1 species
CUAUGCGCCUUGCCAGCCGCUCAGGUGUGCCAACAGCCGCGGUAAUACGUAGGUGGCAAGCGUUGUCCGGAUUUACUGGGUGUAAAGGGCGUGUAGCCGGGCUGACAAGUCAGAUGUGAAAUCCGGGGGCUCAACCCCCGAACUGCAUUUGAAACUGUUGGUCUUGAGUAUCGGAGAGGCAGGCGGAAUUCCUAGUGUAGCGGUGAAAUGCGUAGAUAUUAGGAGGAACACCAGUGGCGAAGGCGGCCUGCUGGACGACAACUGACGGUGAGGCGCGAAAGCGUGGGGAGCAAACAGG